AGUGAACGCUGGCGGUAGGCCUAACACAUGCAAGUCGAACGGCAGCACAGUAAGAGCUUGCUCUUACGGGUGGCGAGUGGCGGACGGGUGAGGAAUACAUCGGAAUCUACUUUUUCGUGGGGGAUAACGUAGGGAAACUUACGCUAAUACCGCAUACGACCUACGGGUGAAAGCAGGGGAUCUUCGGACCUUGCGCGAUUGAAUGAGCCGAUGUCGGAUUAGCUAGUUGGCGGGGUAAAGGCCCACCAAGGCGACGAUCCGUAGCUGGUCUGAGAGGAUGAUCAGCCACACUGGAACUGAGACACGGCCCAGACUCCUACGGGAGGCAGCAGUGGGGAAUAUUGGACAAUGGGCGCAAGCCUGAUCCAGCCAUACCGCGUGGGUGAAGAAGGCCUUCGGGUUGUAAAGCCCUUUUGUUGGGAAAGAAAAGCAGCAGGUUAAUACCCCGCUGUUCUGUCGGUACCCAAAGAAUAAGCACCGGCUAACUUCGUG
rnacentral:rRNA from 1 species